rnacentral:rRNA from 1 species
GAUUAAGUUAUUAAGGGCGCACGGUGGAUGCCUUGGCACUAGAAGCCGACGAAGGACGUUACUAACGACGAUAUGCUUUGGGUAGCUGUAAGUAAGCGUUGAUCCAGAGAUUUCCGAAUGGGGGAACCCAGCACGAGUUAUGUCGUGUUAUCGACAAGUGAAUUCAUAGCUUGUCAGAAGGCAGACCCGGAGAACUGAAACAUCUUAGUACCCGGAGGAAGAGAAAGAAAAAUCGAUUCCCUGAGUAGCGGCGAGCGAAACGGGAAGAGCCCAAACCAAUAAGCUUGCUUAUUGGGGUUGUAGGACACUCUAUACGGAGUUACAAAGGAAUAUAUUAGACGAAUCAUCUGGAAAGUUGAAUCAAAGAAGGUAAUAAUCCUGUAGUUGAAAAUAUAUUCUCUCUUGAGUGGAUCCUGAGUACGACGGAGCACGUGAAAUUCCGUCGGAAUCUGGGAGGACCAUCUCCUAAGGCUAAAUACUCUCUAGUGACCGAUAGUGAACCAGUACCGUGAGGGAAAGGUGAAAAGUACCCCGGAAGGGGAGUGAAAGAGAACUUGAAACCGUGUGCUUACAAGUAGUCAGAGCCCGUUAAUGGGUGAUGGCGUGCCUUUUGUAGAAUGAACCGGCGAGUUACGAUCUGAUGCAAGGUUAAGCAGGAGAUGUGGAGCCGUAGCGAAAGCGAGUCUGAAUAGGGCGUUGAGUAUUUGGUCGUAGACCCGAAACCAGGUGAUCUACCCAUGGUCAGGUUGAAGUUCAGGUAACACUGAAUGGAGGACCGAACCGACUUACGUUGAAAAGUGAGCGGAUGAACUGUGGGUAGCGGAGAAAUUCCAAUCGAACUUGGAGAUAGCUGGUUCUCUCCGAAAUAGCUUUAGGGCUAGCCUCAAGUGAUGAUUAUUGGAGGUAGAGCACUGUUUGGACGAGGGGCCCCUCUCGGGUUACCGAAUUCAGACAAACUCCGAAUGCCAAUUAAUUUAACUUGGGAGUCAGAACAUGGGUGAUAAGGUCCGUGUUCGAAAGGGAAACAGCCCAGACCACCAGCUAAGGUCCCAAAAUAUAUGUUAAGUGGAAAAGGAUGUGGCGUUGCCCAGACAACUAGGAUGUUGGCUUAGAAGCAGCCAUCAUUUAAAGAGUGCGUAAUAGCUCACUAGUCGAGUGACACUGCGCCGAAAAUGUACCNNNAGCUAAGGUCCCAAAAUAUAUGUUAAGUGGAAAAGGAUGUGGCGUUGCCCAGACAACUAGGAUGUUGGCUUAGAAGCAGCCAUCAUUUAAAGAGUGCGUAAUAGCUCACUAGUCGAGUGACACUGCGCCGAAAAUGUACCGGGGCUAAACAUAUUACCGAAGCUGUGGAUUGUCCGUAGGACAAUGGUAGGAGAGCGUUCUAAGGGCGUUGAAGCAUGAUCGCAAGGACAUGUGGAGCGCUUAGAAGUGAGAAUGCCGGUGUGAGUAGCGAAAGACGGGUGAGAAUCCCGUCCACCGAUUGACUAAGGUUUCCAGAGGAAGGCUCGUCCGCUCUGGGUUAGUCGGGUCCUAAGCUGAGGCCGACAGGCGUAGGCGAUGGAUAACAGGUUGAUAUUCCUGUACCACCUAGCAUCGUUUUAAUCGAUGGGGGGACGCAGUAGGAUAGGCGAAGCGUACGAUUGGAUUGUACGUCCAAGCAGUGAGAUUGAGUGUUAGGCAAAUCCGGCACUCUUAAGAUUGAGCUGUGAUGGGGAGAGGAAAUUGUUUCCUCGAGUCGUUGAUUUCACACUGCCGAGAAAAGCCUCUAGAUAGAUAAUAGGUGCCCGUACCGCAAACCGACACAGGUAGUCAAGAUGAGAAUUCUAAGGUGAGCGAGCGAACUCUCGUUAAGGAACUCGGCAAAAUGACCCCGUAACUUCGGGAGAAGGGGUGCUCUUUAGGGUGCAAGCCCAGAAGAGCCGCAGUGAAUAGGCCCAAGCGACUGUUUAUUCAGUACACAGGUCUCUGCUAAACCGUAAGGUGAUGUAUAGGGGCUGACGCCUGCCCGGUGCUGGAAGGUUAAGAGGAGUAGUUAGCUUCUGCGAAGCUACGAAUCGAAGCCCCAGUAAACGGCGGCCGUAACUAUAACGGUCCUAAGGUAGCGAAAUUCCUUGUCGGGUAAGUUCCGACCCGCACGAAAGGCGUAACGAUUUGGGCACUGUCUCAACGAGAGACUCGGUGAAAUCAUAGUACCUGUGAAGAUGCAGGUUACCCGCGACAGGACGGAAAGACCCCGUGGAGCUUUACUGUAGCCUGAUAUUGAAAUUCGGCACAGCUUGUACAGGAUAGGUAGGAGCCUUUGAAACGUGAGCGCUAGCUUACGUGGAGGCGCUGGUGGGAUACUACCCUAGCUGUGUUGGCUUUCUAACCCGCACCACUUAUCGUGGUGGGAGACAGUGUCAGGCGGGCAGUUUGACUGGGGCGGUCGCCUCCUAAAAGGUAACGGAGGCGCUCAAAGGUUCCCUCAGAAUGGUUGGAAAUCAUUCAUAGAGUGUAAAGGCAUAAGGGAGCUUGACUGCGAGACCUACAAGUCGAGCAGGGUCGAAAGACGGACUUAGUGAUCCGGUGGUUCCGCAUGGAAGGGCCAUCGCUCAACGGAUAAAAGCUACCCCGGGGAUAACAGGCUUAUCUCCCCCAAGAGUUCACAUCGACGGGGAGGUUUGGCACCUCGAUGUCGGCUCAUCGCAUCCUGGGGCUGUAGUCGGUCCCAAGGGUUGGGCUGUUCGCCCAUUAAAGCGGUACGCGAGCUGGGUUCAGAACGUCGUGAGACAGUUCGGUCCCUAUCCGUCGUGGGCGUAGGAAAUUUGAGAGGAGCUGUCCUUAGUACGAGAGGACCGGGAUGGACAUACCUCUGGUGUACCAGUUGUCGUGCCAACGGCAUAGCUGGGUAGCUAUGUAUGGACGGGAUAAGUGCUGAAAGCAUCUAAGCAUGAAGCCCCCCUCAAGAUGAGAUUUCCCAACUUCGGUUAUAAGAUCCCUCAAAGAUGAUGAGGUUAAUAGGUUCGAGGUGGAAGCGUGGUGACACGUGGAGCUGACGAAUACUAAUCGAUUGAAGACUUAAUCAA